CCUUGAGAUGUGGGAUGUGAAAGAGGAGAGGGAGUCCUUCUCUUGGAAGGAACUCCAUGCCAAAAAUAAGUUGGGACACCCCAUUUAUGGCGUUGAACUGAAGAGUCCAUUUCAACGUGGACUCUUAUUUUCUUCCAUUAAUUUCUAUGUAUUUGUUAAUUCCACGUAACAUCAGAUGUCUCUUGGGAUUAUGGGGGUAG
rnacentral:lncRNA from 1 species